rnacentral:ribozyme from 1 species
UUGCAAGUUCCAGGCCAUAGCAGAAGCACUCCCCAUGUGGCCCCGUCAGAUUCCAGUGAAUCUGUGAAUUCUGAU